rnacentral:tRNA from 1 species
UGGGGUGUAGCUUAGUGGUAGAGCAUUUGCCUAGCAUUUGCAAAGGUCCUUGGUUUAAUCCCCAGCAGCGUAG